AAACCUCAGCGAUGGAUAUCUCGGCUCUUGUAACGAUGAAGAACGCAGCAAACUGCGAAAAGCACUGCGAAUUGCAGAACUCCGUGAGUCAGUAGAUCUUCGAACGCAAACGCGCCCUCGGGCAUGCUUGUUUCAGGGCCU
rnacentral:rRNA from 1 species